CGAUCACGCCACCACGCGGCUCCACAUUAUGCGAAAAUCGCCAGUGUAUAAAACAGCGUGCCGGUGCUUCGUUUCGACAUAACGCAAGUUUCGUGCAAAUCUAAUAUUCGAUUUCGCUAUAAUCCUCUCACAAAUAAAACCAACCAAAAACCAAAAAUGGGUGCCGAAAAAGUGACCAUGAACAUCGUCGUCGUCGGACAAGUCCAAUCUGCCAAGGCCAUCAAAUCGGUCGCCAAAGCCGCCCCAGCCACCAGCCAAUUGAUGAACUGUUAAUUUAUGAGGUCCACAUCAAUCUCAAACUCAAAAAUGCCAUAGCCCAAACAGUACAUAAUUUUAUAAUUUGUUCUUAAUUAUGAUGUUGUGUAUUGCCAUUGUAAAAUAAAUCAUUCACUACAGUCGAUUAA